rnacentral:rRNA from 1 species
AGGGUUAGUCCAUCUUUCUUGGAUAUCUGUGGUAAUUCUAGAGCUAAUACAUGCGCCCAAACUCCAAUUUUGCAGAAGGAUCGCGUUUAUUAGAAAAAAACAAUCCGGCGCAUCCCCGUCCUUUUGCGGAACUAUGGAUAACAACGAGCUGAUAGCACCGACUGGGGCCAUUAAUGCAAGUUUCUGACCUAUGCCGUAACAACUGUCGGUGGCAGAUGCUCCGCGUGGUUUUAUUGUGCGACACAAUUAUGACCUGACCUUCUCUCCGGGACGGGAGGAACGCCCCCCUCCUAUUACAUCCACUGACGGAGGUGAGAUUACACAGCCUACGACCUGGUCACGAGAAGUAAUCGAUAUGAAUUCCUGCUCACUCUUUCCUUGCUUGCUCUGAACUGGAAAAAUUAUUUUUGUUAUUCUCUCUUCAUUGUCC